AUUGAACGCUGGCGGCAGGCCUAACACAUGCAAGUCGAACGGUAACAGGAAGAAGCUUGCUUCUUUGCUGACGAGUGGCGGACGGGUGAGUAAUGUCUGGGAAACUGCCUGAUGGAGGGGGAUAACUACUGGAAACGGUAGCUAAUACCGCAUAACGUCGCAAGACCAAAAAGGGGGACCUUCGGGCCUCUUGCCAUCGGAUGUGCCCAGAUGGGAUUAGCUAGUAGGUGGGGUAACGGCUCACCUAGGCGACGAUCCCUAGCUGGUCUGAGAGGAUGACCAGCCACACUGGAACUGGGACACGGUCCAGACUCCUACGGGAGGCAGCAGUGGGGAAUAUUGCACAAUGGGCGCAAGCCUGAUGCAGCCAUGCCGCGUGUAUGAAGAAGGCCUUCGGGUUGUAAAGUACUUUCAGCGGGGAGGAAGGGAGUAAAGUUAAUACCUUUGCUCAUUGACGUUACCCGCAGAAGAAGCACCGGCUAACUCCGU
rnacentral:rRNA from 1 species